GCCUUCGUGGUUUAGUGGUCAGCACACUCGGCGCGUAUUCGAGAGGUCCGUGGUUCGAGUCCCGGAGAGGGCA
rnacentral:tRNA from 1 species